AUUGAACGCUGGCGGCAGGCCUAACACAUGCAAGUCGAACGAGUGGCGGACGGGUGAGUAAUGUCUGGGAAUCUGCCCGAUGGAGGGGGAUAACUACUGGAAACGGUAGCUAAUACCGCAUACCAUCGGAUGUGCCCAGAUGGGAUUAGCUAGUAGGUGGGGUAACGGCUCACCUAGGCGACGAUCCCUAGCUGGUCUGAGAGGAUGACCAGCCACACUGGAACUGAGACACGGUCCAGACUCCUACGGGAGGCAGCAGUGGGGAAUAUUGCACAAUGGGCGCAAGCCUGAUGCAGCCACGCCGCGUGUAUGAAGAAGGCCUUCGGGUUGUAAAGUACUUUCAGCGAGGAGGCGUUACUCACAGAGGAAGCAUCGGCUAACUCCGUGCCAGCAGCCGCGGUAAUUC
rnacentral:rRNA from 1 species